CCGAGCUUCCAUGACCCUGGCCACAGCCAAGUAGGCUACUAGCCUACGUAAUAUUUAAUAACUUUUAAAACCAUGAGCAUAGAGAGACUGUCAACGAAUACAGCAAAGAGCUGCAGUUUUUAUGAAUGCGGUGUGACUCGAGCUUCGCCAUCAGGUGGAAGACGGUGUCCCCUCUCUCUGGUCAGUCUCGCCGGAGGAAAGGAAGGAGAGAGCAGGGACGGUGAGAGGCGGUUGGGAAAAAUCGUUUUGAACAGUCAUCCAACAGUCAUCAAUUCCAAGUCGGAAACACGGGCAUCUUUCUAGAGCUCCGACUUUUCGACCUAAAGAUCACUGACGUCGUGAUUUGACCUCGUUGACUAUCAGAUGCAGAUGCCGAUGCCCUGAAGAGGGGGCGACACUACUCCAGCUAAUUUCCCCAGGGACAUGGGGGAGGGGGCCAGAGAGGGCUAAGGCUAACCCAGGGAGGGGGGCCCGACACCUUACAUCCAGCCAGAUCCUUGUCCAAGCUAUAGAGCAAAAUAGUAAUGGCCUCUUUUUGUAGGCACUAACUCCGCCAUGGUCCAGAGUGCAUUUACAAAAACUUGUUUGGUCAUUUUUACAUGUUCUUUACACCUGUCCAGUGUGCAUUUUCAGGUGAUUAGAAUGCUUGUUUGGGGCCAACCACCACCCGUGGCCACCAGGGGACGCCACUACAUCUAGCCUGCUCCCUGCAGCAGGAGAUGGGGGGAGAGGACCGGAGAGUGCUGGGGCCGACCCAGUAGGGGCAGCUAACUCCCAGAGAGGGGGCCUGACCUCCACCCCGGCCACCAAGGGGAGCCACUAGAUCUA